UCAGCAUCUGAAAUGAAGUAGGACCACCCGCUGAACUUAAGCAUAUCAUAAGC
rnacentral:rRNA from 1 species